ACAAGCUACUUUUAAGGCGUGCGGCGGAUGCCUAGGCACUGGCUGGCGACGAAGGGCGCGGAAGGCCGCGAUAGGCCGCGGGGAGCCGUCUUCAGGCUUCGAUCCGCGGGUGCCCGAAUGGGGAAACCCGGCGCGAUAUGUCGCGUCGCCGGACGGGGGAACACAUGCCCCGCCGGAGCGAACCCCGGGAACUGAAACAUCUAAGUACCGGGAGGAGAAGAAAGAGAAUCGAUUCCGUCAGUAGUGGCGAGCGAAAGCGGAGGAGCCCAAAUGGGGAGGAAUUGCGCGAUUCGGAGGGGAACGGCCUGGGAGGGCCGGCCACAGAGGGCGACAGCCCCGUACCCCGAGAAGGACGCAUGUCUCCCCGAGAGAGUACGCCGGGUCACGAGAAACCCCGGCGGAAGACGGCGGGACCACCCGCCAAGGCUAAACACAGACCAGUGACCGAUAGCGAACAAGUACCGUGAGGGAAAGGUGAAAAGAACCCCGGGAGGGGGAUGAAAAGAUCCUGAAACCGCAUGCCGGCGACCGGACCGAGGGCGUCGAAGCCUGAGGUCGUGCCUAUUGAAGAAUGAGCCUGCGAGUUGUCGAUGCCAGCGAGGCUAAGCGGAAGACGCGGAGCCGCAGGGAAACCGAGCCCGAACAGGGCGCGAGUUGGCACCGGCAGACCCGAAACCCGGCGAUCUAGCCAUGGCCAGGAUGAAAGAGGGGCGAAACCCUCCGGAGGUCCGAACCGACGUUCGUUGAAAAGACCGCGGAUGAGCCGUGGCUCGUGGUGAAAUUCCAAUCGAGCCGGGUUAUAGCUGGUUCUCCCCGAAAUAGCUCUUGGGCUAGCCUCGGGGCUGUGCGCCGACGGAGGUAGAGCCACCGAUGGGGCGAGGGGCGCGUCGAACGCCUUCGAGCCCCGCCGAACUCCGAAUGCCGCCGGCGAAGCCCCGGGAGUCGGUCUGCGGGAGAUAAGUUCCGUGGACGAGAGGGAAAGAGCCCGGACCGCCGAUUAAGGCCCCAAAGUGCGCGCCGAGUGCUGAGAAGGAGGUGGGGCGGCUCAAACAGCCAGGAUGUUGGCUCAGAGGCAGCCAUCAUUCAAAGAAUGCGUAACAGCUCACUGGUCAAGCCGCCCCGCGCCGACAAUUUACCGGGGCUAAAGCGCGCCGCCGAAAUCGCGGGAUCCGUAGGAUCGGUAGGGGAGCGUCGCCUGUGCGGCGAAGCGGGACCGCGAGGGCCCGUGGAGCGCAGGCGAGCGAGAAUGCAGGCGUUAGUAGCGACGGGGGGUGGGAAUCCCCCCAGCCGGAUGGCCGAGGUCUCCCGGGCGAGGUUCGUCCUCCCGGGGUCAGCCGGGGCCUAAGACGAGGCCGAGAGGCGCAGUCGAUGGGAAUGCGGCGAAGAUUCCGCAGCCCGUCCGCGUGGCGAUGACCGUGACGGGGGUGGCAAGGCAGCCCGGGCGAUCGGAAGAGCCCGGCGGCCGGCGCGCAGGGGCGGGGGAGCCAAAGCUCUUCCCCGGAUGCCCCAGGGCCGGACGGGAGGAAAGCGGGAGACCGCGAGUACGAAGGCGCCGGGGACACCCUCCAGGAAAAGCGGCUAGCGUCAGAGCGCGGGCGGCCCGUACCAAGAACGGACACACGUGGCCUGGGCGAGAAGCCCGAGGCUAGCGAGACAACUGUUGCUAAGGAACUCUGCAAGACUGCUUCGCAAGCUAGCGAGAAGAAGCGCCCGGGGGCGAACAGCCCCGCGGGCCGCAGCGAAGAGGCAGGGGUGACUGUUUACCAAAAACACAGCUCUGUGCGAAGCCGCAAGGCGACGUAUACGGGGUGAUGCCUGCCCGGUGCUGGAAGGUUAAGGGGAGGGGUCAGGCCGCAAGGCCGAAGCCCCGAGCCGAAGCCCCAGUGAACGGCGGCCGUAACUAUAACGGUCCUAAGGUAGCGAAAUUCCUUGUC
rnacentral:rRNA from 1 species